AAUAAGAAAACAGUGCUUCUGUUCUUAGUUUCGACCUAAGAAAAGUAAUUUUAAUUACUCUUAUUCCC
rnacentral:tRNA from 1 species